rnacentral:rRNA from 1 species
GAUGAACGCUAGCGGCAGGCCUAAUACAUGCAAGUCGAGGGGUAACAUGGUCUUCGGACUGAUGACGACCGGCGCACGGGUGCGUAACGCGUAUGCAACCUACCCUUUACAGGGGGAUAGCCCAGAGAAAUUUGGAUUAAUACCCCAUAGUAUAGUUGAGUGGCAUCACUUAGUUAUUAAAGAUUUAUUGGUAAAGGAUGGGCAUGCGUAAGAUUAGUUAGUUGGUGAGGUAAUGGCUCACCAAGGGAUCGAUCUUUAGGGGUUCUGAGAGGAUGAUCCCCCACACUGGUACUGAGAUACGGACCAG